UGGGGAAUAUUGGGCAAUGGAGGCAACUCUGACCCAGCAACGCCGCGUGAGCGAUGAAGGUCUUCGGAUUGUAAAGCUCUUUAAGCGGGGACGAAGAAAGUGACUGUACCCGCAGAAUAAGCCUCGGCUAACUACGUGCCAGCAGCCGCGGUAAUACGUAGGAGGCAAGCGUUAUCCGGAAUGACUGGGCGUAAAGGGUGCGUAGGUGGUUUGGCAAGUUGGUAGCGUAAUCCCGGGGCUCAACCUCGGUGCUACUACCAAAACUGUUGAACUUGAGUGCAGGAGGGGUGAAUGGAAUUCCUAGUGUAGCGGUGGAAUGCGUAGAUAUUAGGAAGAACACCAGCGGCGAAGGCGAUUCACUGGACUGUAACUGACACUGAGGCACGAAAGCGUGGGGAGCAAACAGG
rnacentral:rRNA from 1 species